GUUAUAGGGUCAAGCGAACAAGUGCAUGUGGUGGAUGCCUUGGCGAUCACAGGCGAUGAAGGACGCGGUAGCCUGCGAAAAGCU
rnacentral:rRNA from 1 species